rnacentral:rRNA from 1 species
UGGGGAAUAUUGGACAAUGGGCGCAAGCCUGAUCCAGCCAUGCCGCGUGAGUGAUGAAGGCCCUAGGGUUGUAAAGAUCUUUCGCCAGGGACGAUAAUGACGGUACCUGGAUAAGAAGCCCCGGCUAACUUCGUGCCAGCAGCCGCGGUAAUACGAAGGGGGCUAGCGUUGUUCGGAAUCACUGGGCGUAAAGCGCACGUAGGCGGAUCUUUAAGUCAGGGGUGAAAUCCCGAGGCUCAACCUCGGAACUGCCUUUGAUACUGGAGGUCUCGAGUUCGGGGAGAGGUGAGUGGAACUGCGAGUGUAGAGGUGAAAUUCGUAGAUAUUCGCAAGAACACCAGUGGCGAAGGCGGCUCACUGGCCCGAUACUGACGCUGAGGUGCGAAAGCGUGGGGAGCAAAACAGGAUUAGAUACCCUGGUAGUCCACGCCGUAAACGAUGGAUGCUAGCCGUUGGGGAGCUUGCUCUUCAGUGGCGCAGCUAACGCUUUAAGCAUCCGCCUGGGGAGUACGGUCGCAAGAUUAAAACUCAAAGGAAUUGAC